rnacentral:rRNA from 1 species
GACGAACGCUGGCGGCGUGCUUAACACAUGCAAGUCGAACGGAAGGGCCCUGCUUGCCGGGUACUCGAGUGGCGAACGGGUGAGUAACACGUGGGUGAUCUGCCCUGCACUUCGGGAUAAGCCUGGGAAACUGGGUCUAAUACCGGAUAGGAGCCAUUUUUAGUGUGAUGGUUGGAAAGUUUUUUCGGUGUAGGAUGAGCUCGCGGCCUAUCAGCUUGUUGGUGGGGUAAUGGCCUACCAAGGCGGCGACGGGUAGCCGGCCUGAGAGGGUGGACGGCCACAUUGGGACUGAGAUACGGCCCAGACUCCUACGGGAGGCAGCAGGGGGGAAUAUUGCACAAUGGGCGCAAGCCUGAUGCAGCGACGCCGCGUGGGGGAUGACGGCCUUCGGGUUGUAAACUCCUUUCGCUAGGGACGAAGCUUUUUGUGACGGUACCUAGAUAAGAAGCACCGGCUAACUACGUG